rnacentral:rRNA from 1 species
GAGUCUUAAUAGGGCGUUUAGUUGCUGGGUAUAGACCCGAAACCAGGCGAUCUAUCCAUGAGCAGGUUGAAGGUUGGGUAACACUAACUGGAGGACCGAACCCACUGUCGUUGAAAAGCCAGGGGAUGACUUGUGGAUAGGGGUGAAAGGCUAAUCAAGCCUGGUGAUAGCUGGUUCUCCCCGAAAGCUAUUUAGGUAGCGCCUCGGACGAAUACCAUAGGGGGUAGAGCACUGUUUCGGCUAGGGGGUCAUCCCGACUUACCAAACCGAUGCAAACUCCGAAUACCUAUGAGUACUAUCCGGGAGACAGACUGCGGGUGCUAACGUCCGUAGUCAAGAGGAAAACAAUCCAGACCGCCAGCUAAGGCCCCAAAAUCAUAGUUAAGUGGGAAACGAUGUGGGAAGGCAUAGACAGCUAGGAGGUUGGCUUAGAAGCAGCCACCCUUUAAAGAAAGCGUAAUAGCUCACUAGUCGAGUCGGCCUGCGCGGAAGAUGUAACGGGGCUAAAACUAUGUGCCGAAGCUGCGGAUUUGACAUUAGUCAAGUGGUAGGGGAGCGUUCUGUAAGCCGAUGAAGGUGUAUUGAGAAGUAUGCUGGAGGUAUCAGAAGUGCGAAUGCUGACGUGAGUAACGACAAAACGGGUGAAAAACCCGUUCGCCGAAAGACCAAGGGUUCCAGUCCAACGUUAAUCGGGGCUGGGUGAGUCGACCCCUAAGGCGAGGCCGAAAGGCGUAGUCGAUGGGAAAUUGGUUAAUAUUCCAAUACUUCUGUGUAAUGCGAUGAGAGGACGGAGAAGGUUAAGUCAGCCUGGCGUUGGUUGUCCAGGUGGAAGGAUGUAGGUAUGUAUCUUAGGCAAAUCCGGGGUACUCUAUACUGAGAUCCGAUAGCAAGCUGUACUUGUACAGUGAAGUGGCUGAUACCAUGCUUCCAGGAAAAGUCUCUAAGCUUCAGUUACACAGGAAUCGUACCCGAAACCGACACAGGUGGUCAGGUCGAGUAGACCAAGGCGCUUGAGAGAACUCUGCUGAAGGAACUAGGCAAAAUGGUACCGUAACUUCGGGAGAAGGUACGCUGUUGUUGGUGAUGGAACUUGCUUCCUGAGCUGACGACAGCCGCAGAAACCAGGCCGCUGCAACUGUUUAUUAAAAACAUAGCACUCUGCAAACACGAAAGUGGACGUAUAGGGUGUGAUGCCUGCCCGGUGCUGGAAGGUUAAUUGAUGGGGUUAGCGUAAGCGAAGCUCUUGAUCGAAGCCCCAGUAAACGGCGGCCGUAACUAUAACGGUCCUAAGGUAGCGAAAUUCCUUGUCGGGUAAGUUCCGACCUGCACGAAUGGCAUAAUGAUGGCGGCGCUGUCUCCAGCAGAGGCUCAGUGAAAUCGAAAUCGCUGUGAAGAUGCAGUGUACCCGCGGCUAGACGGAAAGACCCCGUGAACCUUUACUGCAGCUUGACACUGAACUUUGACCUUACUUGUGUAGGAUAGGUGGGAGGCUUUGAAGUUGGAACGCUAGUUCCAAUGGAGCCGUCCUUGAAAUACCACCCUGGUAAUGUUGAGGUUCUAACUCUGUCCCGUUAUCCGGGACGAGGACCGUGUCUGGUGGGUAGUUUGACUGGGGCGGUCUCCUCCUAAAGAGUAACGGAGGAGUACGAAGGUGCGCUCAGCGUGGUCGGAAAUCACGCGUAGAGUAUAAAGGCAAAAGCGCGCUUAACUGCGAGACCCACAAGUCGAGCAGGUACGAAAGUAGGUCUUAGUGAUCCGGUGGUUCUGUAUGGAAGGGCCAUCGCUCAACGGAUAAAAGGUACUCUGGGGAUAACAGGCUGAUACCGCCCAAGAGUUCAUAUCGACGGCGGUGUUUGGCACCUCGAUGUCGGCUCAUCUCAUCCUGGGGCUGAAGCAGGUCCCAAGGGUAUGGCUGUUCGCCAUUUAAAGAGGUACGCGAGCUGGGUUUAGAACGUCGUGAGACAGUUCGGUCCCUAUCUACCGUGGGCGCUGGAAAUUUGAGAGGAUCUGCUCCUAGUACGAGAGGACCAGAGUGGACGAACCUCUGGUGUACCGGUUGUGACGCCAGUCGCAUCGCCGGGUAGCUAUGUUCGGAAGGGAUAACCGCUGAAAGCAUCUAAGCGGGAAGCCUACCUCAAGAUAAGAUUUCCCUAGGAAUUUAUUCCUCUAAAGAGCCGUUCGAGACUAGGACGUUGAUAGGUUGGAUGUGGAAGCAUAGUGAUAUGUGAAGCUGACCAAUACUAAUUGCUCGUGAGGCUUGACUAUACAACACCCAAGCAGUUG